rnacentral:lncRNA from 1 species
GACAACAUGGCCAAGCUCGUCGACUCGCCCGUGACCGUCCGCCCGUUCAUCCCCAAGCUUCUCCCCGGCCUCAUCAAGAUCGAGUCCGUCAUCGGUGACCCCGAGGCUCGCAGCGUCGUCGCUCGCGCCAUUGCCACCCUCCGCCAGGUCGGUGAGGUCCCCACUGGCGACGGCUCCGACCUCCCGCCUCUCAAGCAGGCGGAUGAGAAGGCCCUCGCUUCAUCCCUUGUCGGUCUUUACAAGAAGGCUGGCGCCAGCCCUGUCCCCUCUGCUACCGACAUCGCUGCCGGCUAUGUUUCGCAGCUCGCCGCGAACCUCGUCAACCAGAAGAACUUCGACGUCUCGGAGUGGCAGACGCUCAUCCCCUUCCUCGCGUUCCUUGCUUCCUCCCCCGACGCCAACACCAUUGCCAACGAGUGGGCUGUCAAGUCGGCGUCCGCCGAUGACGACGAGGCCGAGGAGGCUGAGGAUGAGGAGGAGGGCGAGGACCUGUGCAACUGCCAGUUCUCGCUCGCCUACGGUGCGAAGAUCCUGCUCAACACUGCUUCGCUUCGCCUCAAGCGUGGCCACCGCUACGGUCUCUGCGGUCGCAACGGUACCGGAAAGUCCACCCUCAUGCGUGCGAUCACCAACGGGUAUGUCAGCUUUGUGUAUUCCGCUUACGAGUACGAUGCUUACUGGUAUUCGCGCACAGCCAAGUCGAGGGCUUCCCCUCCCCUGACGAGGUCCGCACGUUCUACGUCGAGCACGACAUUGACGGUAGCGAGGCCGACACCACUAUCCUCGAGUUCAUCCUCGCCGAUAAGCGUAUCCAGGCGACUCGUGAGGAGAUCAUCGAGACGCUCGCGUCCGUCGGCUUCGACGAUGCCCGCCAGAAGUCUGCGAUUGGCUCCCUCUCCGGUGGUUGGAAGAUGAAGCUCGCGCUCGCCCGCGCCAUGCUCUUCCGCGCGGACAUCCUCCUGCUCGAUGAGCCGACUAACCACUUGGACGUCGUCAACAUCGCGUGGCUCGAGAACUACCUGACCAGCCUCACCACCUGCACGUCCAUCAUCGUCUCGCACGACUCCGGCUUCUUGAACAACGUCAUCACCGACGUCCUCCACCUCAACCGCUUCAAGCUCAAGCGCUACCGCGGCAACCUCGAGUCGUUCAUGAAGGCCGUCCCUGAGGCCCGCUCGUACUACACGCUCGAGGCUCAGGAGGACUACCAGUUCAAGCUCCCUGACCCCCCUCUCCUUGAGGGUGUCAAGACCAAGGAGAAGUCGCUGCUCAAGAUGCGCAGGGUCGGCUUCCAGUACCCCACGCAGGUUGUCCAGCAACUCCACGAUAUCACCCUCCAAGUCUCGCUCUCCUCCCGUGUCGCCGUCCUCGGUCCCAACGGUUCCGGCAAGUCCACGCUCGUCAAGCUCCUUAUUGGCGACAUGGAGCCGAACAAGGGCGGUGAGACGUGGAAGCACCCCAACUUGGUCAUCGGUUACGUCGCGCAGCACGCCUUCCACCACAUUGACAACCACCUCGACAAGACCCCGCUCGACUACAUGCUCUGGCGUUACCAGACGGGUGAGGAUCUUGAGGAGAUGAUGAAGGCGUCGCGCCAGAUCACCGAGGAAGAGGAGAAGAAGAUGAAGGACGGCUCGAUCGUCGUCGUCGAGGGUCAGAAGCGCAUCAUCGAGGAGAUCGUCGCCCGCAAGAAGCUCAAGCAGUCGUACGAGUACGAGGUGUCGUUCAAGAACCUCUCGUCCUCGGAGAACAUCUGGCUGCCGCGUGACGACCUCAUCAAGCGCGGUUUCGAGAAGAAGGUCCUCGAGGUCGACACCCGUGAGGCUCAGCGCCUUGGUCUCCUCCGCCCGCUCGUUCGUCGCGAGAUCGAGAAGCACUUCGCCGACUUCGGUCUCGAGCCCGAGUUCGUCUCCCACAACUCGAUGCGUGGUCUCUCCGGUGGUCAGAAGGUCAAGGUCGUGCUCGGUGCCGCGACGUGGCGCCGGCCGCACAUCAUCUGCCUGGACGAGCCGACGAACUACCUCGACCGUGAGUCGCUCGCGGCGCUGAUCAAGGCGCUCAAGGAGUUCGAGGGUGGUGUGCUCGUCAUCACGCACAACCGGGACUUUUCGGAGUCACUGUGCACGGAAGUGUGGGCGAUGCGCGACGGCCGUCUGGAGGCGUCGGGCCACAACUGGGUCGAGGGCCAGGGUUCGGGCCCGCGGAUCGACAAGAAGGACGGAGAGGACGAGGACCAGUACGACGCGAUGGGGAACAAGAUCGACACGAAGAAGGCGAAGAAGCUGACGUCGUCGGAGGCGCGGAAGCUCAAGAAGGAGCGCAUGGCGAGGAAGAAGCGCGGCGAGGAUGUUACGGACG